UGCUCGUUUACUUCCCUGGUUCAGUCCUUAUAAUCAUCCUCACCUCACAGAGUUGGGUUUGUUGGUUUGAUACCUCUUGUGCUUCAUCCUUGAUUUUGAAAUCAGGUGAGUCAAGUUUCCUACAGAGGGUAAAUAUAGUGUUUUGACUUCUGCUACAGCUGUGAAUGAAAUCACAUCAAGAUGGCCUUGGGUCUGUAUUUCAUGUUGCUCCUCUCUUUGGCCAGUGGACUAUGGGCUCAGGACGUUGGAGAGGCAAGACCAUCUGACAGCUGUUGUGUAGGUAAGUGAUG